rnacentral:lncRNA from 1 species
CCGCGGCUCCGGCCUGGAACGGGAGCGGUUCCCAAAUCCCAAAAUCCGGGAAUUCUGGGAUCUCCUUCCCCCAAAAUCUGGGAAUUCUGGGAUUUCUUCUCCCUCAAAUCCAGGAAUUCCGCGAUCUCCUCUCCCCCAUUCCUGAGGAUCCCAUCAGGACCCUCCCGGCGCCUCCAAAUUCCCUCCAAAUCCCCCAAAAUUCCCAAAAAUUCCCAAAAAUCCCAGCGGGAUGAUCCCAACUCCCAUCCCUGCCAGGAGUUCCCGUUCUCAGCCCCCCAAAAAUUCCCAAAAAUCCACAAAAUUCCGCCCCAAAUCCCCCCAAAAUUCCCAAAAAUCUCCCGAAAAUUCCUCCAAAACUCUCAGUCCCCCCCAAAUUCCCGAAAAUCCUCUCAAUCCUUCCCCAAAUUCCUGGAAUUUUCCCCCAAUCCCUCCCAGAAUUUAAAAGAGAUCCCUCAAAAUUCCCAAAAAUCUCCUGAAUUCCCAAAAAACCCCCUCAAAAUUCCCAAAAAUCUCCCGAAUUCCCAAAAAACUCUCCCAAUCCCCUCCAAAAAUUCCCUCAAAAUCCCAAAAAUCCUCAAAUCCUCCCCAGAAUUCCCGGAAUUUCCUUUUCCAGCGGCUCGGGAUUUCGGGAUCGGAGCCGCCCGGGGGAAUCCCGGGAUGAGGCUCCGGGAAGGGAUCCCAAAAAUCCGGGAUUUGGGAUCCGAGUUUGGUUUAUUACCAUCAGAAUUCCGGCAUUUGGAAUUUCGGGACUCGCAGCAUUCCCGGUGGGAAUUUCCCAAAUCCCAGGAAAUCGGAGCCAUCCCGGGCUCCAGAGCCGCCUCUUCCUCCCACGGAUCCCGGAAAAUUCCCAGAUCCCAAUCCUGGAUCCCAAUCCAAAUCCCUGGGAUUCCGGAACCGCGGGAAUCCAGGCUGGGAACGACCCCUUUCCCUGGGAUAUUCCCAGAUUUCCACUGAUCCCAGCACGAUCCCGGCUCCAGAGGGAACUUAUCCCAUUUUUUCCCCUUUUUUUCCCAUUUUUUUCCCAUUUCUUCCAGUUUUUUUCCCAUUUUUUUCUGUUUUUCCCAUUUUUUCCCCAGUGUUUUCCAUUUUUUCCCAUAUUUUUUCCCAUUUUUUCCCCAUUUUCCCAUUUUUUCCCAUUUUUCCCGUUUU